CCGCCUGUGCGUCCUAUCCCGAAGCGCUCCUGCCACCGCUCAGGGCGACUGUGGGUCUCAGCCCCCGGGCGCCGAGGUGUGGUCGCAUGCGUAAGCUCUGGCACCAAGUGGGUCACAAGCACAAGGUGUGUGAGGCUUCUGGGAAGUGCCCUUAAAUCUGCACAGCCCCCCACACCUGUGCCUGCUGCACGCCUGCACCUGCACACACCUGCGUGCACACACCCUCCUACACACGCCUGUGUGCACACACCCUCCUACACACACCUGCACCUGUGCACACACCCUCCUACACACACCUGCGUGCACACACCCUCCUACACACACCUGCGUGCACACACCCUCCUACACACACCUGUGUGCACACACCUUCCUACACACACCUGCACCUGCGUGCACACACCCUCCUACACACACCUGCGUGCACACACCCUCCUACACACACCUGUGUGCACACACCCUCCUACACACACCUGCGUGCACACACCUUCCUACACACACCUGUGUGCACACACCCUCCUACACACACCUGCACCUGUGCACACACCCUCCUACACACACCUGUGUGCACACACCCUCCUACACACACCUGUGUGCACACACCUUCCUACACACACCUGUGUGCACACACCCUCCUACACACACCUGCGUGCACACACCCUCCUACACACACCUGCGUGCACACACCUUCCUACACACACCUGCGUGCACACACCUUCCUACACACACCUGCACCUGCGCACACCCUCCUACACACGCCUGCGUGCACACCUGCACCUGCACACACCUGCACCUGCGUGCACACACCUUCCUACACACACCUGCGUGCACACACCUUCCUACACACACCUGCACCUGCGCACACACCUUCCUACACACACCUGCGUGCACACCUGCCCACUUGCCUUCACCUGCACACACACCUGCAUGCACACCUGCACCUGCACACACACCUGCGUGCACACCUGCACCUGCGCACACACCUGCGUGCACACACCUGUGCUCUGACAUUGGCUCCAUACCAGAGUCAUCUGGGGCUGUGGCUCUCGGUCUCUGAAUUGGCGCCCAGAUGCCCCCAUGGCUCCUCACGUGGCGCCAUCCUCAUGGGGCCCCGUGCAUAUUUUCAGCUCAAGUAGCCGCAAGGACUCUCACCGGAUCAGAGGAGAUCCUGCUUCCACUUGGC
rnacentral:lncRNA from 1 species